rnacentral:rRNA from 1 species
AUUGAACGCUGGCGGCAGGCCUAACACAUGCAAGUCGAACGAGGGGCGGACGGGUGAGUAAUGUCUGGGAAACUGCAGGAUGGAGGGGGAUAACUACUGGAAACGGUAGCUAAUACCGCAUACCAUCGGAUGUGCCCAGAUGGGAUUAGCUAGUAGGUGGGGUAAAGGCUCACCUAGGCGACUAUCCCGAGCUGGUCUGAGCGGAUGAACUGCCACACUGGAACUGAGACACGGUCCAGACUCCUACGGGAGGCAGCAGUGGGGAAUAUUGCACAAUGGGCUCAAGCCUGAUGCAGCCAUGCCGCGGUUAUGAAGAAGGCCUUCGGGUUGUAAAGUACUUUCAGCGGGGAGGCGUUACCCGCAGAAGAAGCACCGGCUAACUCCGUGCCAGCCGCCGCGGUAAUAC